AGAUUAAGUUAUUAAGGGCGCACGGUGGAUGCCUUGGCACUAGAAGCCGAUGAAGGACGUUACUAACGACGAUAUGCUUUGGGUAGCUGUAAGUAAGCGUUGAUCCAGAGAUUUCCGAAUGGGGAAACCCAGCACAAGUUAUGUUGUGUUAUCGACAAGU
rnacentral:rRNA from 1 species